CGCGUAGGCGGUCUCUUAAGUCAGAUGUGAAAGCCCGGGGCUUAACCUCGGAAGUGCAUUUGAAACUAAGGGACUUGAGUAUGGGAGAGGGAAGUGGAAUUCCUGGUGUAGCGGUGAAAUGCGUAGAUAUCAGGAGGAACACCGGUGGCGAAGGCGACUUCCUGGACCAAUACUGACGCUGAGUCGCGAAGGCGUGGGGAGCAAACAGGAUUAGAUACCCUGGUAGUCC
rnacentral:rRNA from 1 species